CCUACGGGAGGCUGCAGUGGGGAAUAUUGGACAAUGGGGGGAACCCUGAUCCAGCCAUGCCGCGUGUGUGAAGAAGGCCCUCGGGUUGUAAAGCACUUUCAGUGAGGAAGAACGCCUGGUGGUUAAUACCCAUCAGGAAAGACAUCACUCACAGAAGAAGCACCGGCUAACUCCGUGCCAGCAGCCGCGGUAAUACGGAGGGUGCGAGCGUUAAUCGGAAUUACUGGGCGUAAAGCGCGCGUAGGUGGCUUGAUAAGCCGGUUGUGAAAGCCCCGGGCUCAACCUGGGAACGGCAUCCGGAACUGUCAAGCUAGAGUGCAGGAGAGGAAGGUAGAAUUCCCGGUGUAGCGGUGAAAUGCGUAGAGAUCGAGAGGAAUACCAGUGGCGAAGGCGGCCUUCUGGACUGACACUGACACUGAGGUGCGAAAGCGUGGGUAGCAAACAGGAUUAGAUACCCCUGUAGUC
rnacentral:rRNA from 1 species